AUUGAACGCUGGCGGCAGGCUUAACACAUGCAAGUCGAGCGGGGUGAUGGUGCUUGCACUAUCACUUAGCGGCGGACGGGUGAGUAAUGCUUAGGAAUCUGCCUAUUAGUGGGGGACAGCAUCUCGAAAGGGAUGCUAAUACCGCAUACGUCCUACGGGAGAAAGCAGGGGAUCACUUGUGACCUUGCGCUAAUAGAUGAGCCUAAGUCGGAUUAGCUAGUUGGUGGGGUAAAGGCCUACCAAGGCGACGAUCUGUAGCGGGUCUGAGAGGAGGAUCCGCCACACUGGGACUGAGACACGGCCCAGACUCCUACGGGAGGCAGCAGUGGGGAAUAUUGGACAAUGGGGGGAACCCUGAUCCAGCCAUGCCGCGUGUGUGAAGAAGGCCUUAUGGUUGUAAAGCACUUUAAGCGAGGAGGAGGCUCUUUUGGUUAAUACCCAAGAUGAGUGGACGUUACUCGCAGAAUAAGCACCGGCUAACUCUGUGCCAGCAGCCGCGGUAA
rnacentral:rRNA from 1 species